UUAGCUAUUUUAGAUAGGUUUGUAUUCAUGAAUCAUGGAUACAAACAGCAAAAGACUGUUUUUGUAUCUAUGAUGGCUAGAGCACUUUGUACUGAACAAACAGCCACGUAGACAAUCCUAAGUGGCUAACAAAAGUAAUGAACUAACGACUUUUAUCAAUCCAUUUAGGCAUAUUGUCUGAAUGGAUUUUUUGUUUUAUCAA
rnacentral:ncRNA from 1 species